AGAGAGAGACAUGCGCGCAUAUCAAUAAGCGGAGGAAAAGAAACUAACUAGGAUUCCCUCAGUAACGGCGAGUGAAGCGGGAAGAGCUCAAAUUUGAAAUCUUCAAGGUUCUACCUUGACGAAUUGUAGUUUAAAGAAGUGUUUUCUGUUGGAGUUUUGGUAAAAGUUCUUUGGAAUAGGACAUCAUAGAGGGUGAGAAUCCCGUAUUUGACCAUUAUUUCCAGCUUUGUGAUACACUUUCAAAGAGUCGGAUUGUUUGGGAAUGCAGUCCAAAAUGGGUGGUAAAUUUCAUCUAAAGCUAAAUAUUGGCGAGAGACCGAUAGCGAACAAGUACCGUGAGGGAAAGAUGAAAAGAACUUUGAAAAGAGAGUUAAACAGUACGUGAAAUUGUCAAAAGGGAAGCGUUUGACACCAGUGUUGUUUUCUCGAAAAUCAAUUAAAAAAGGCAGGAUUUUGUGUUGUAUUGACUUUAUCAGCUUUCUGCACUCUUUUCUUGUCUUUUUUAAUGCACUUUUCGUUUAACAAGUCAACAUCAGUUUCUUUUGUUGUAAAAAGGGUCAUUGGAAGGUGGCUUUCUUUUCGGAGAAAGUGUUUAUAGCCUUUGGCCUCUGCAAUCGGAGAGAUUGAGGUCUGCAGCGUAGAUCCUUCGGGGUUAGAUACAUUUGUGCUAAGUUAUAGCCCUUUCUAUAGACAACUUGUUGACUAUGAUUUAGUCUUGUAGCUUACUCGCUUAUGUUAUUUUACCUACGCUUAGGAUGUUGAUGUGAUACUGCGAGCA
rnacentral:rRNA from 1 species